GUAACUUGUGUUUAUUACCACAUACAAUUUUAAAUUAGAUUAGUGAUGUGGUUCCAUGAAAUAAAUAAAUGAAUUAAUGGUGUAGAAACUGAAAUGAAUUUAGUGCAUAAUGAAAAAUAAAAUGAUGGUUCCAUUUCAUAUGAAAAAUAGUAUAUGACUCUAAUCCAACACACAACUCUUAAAUGCUAAACUCAUACCUAACUUUUGAAUACUAAAUCCUAAACUGUUAUCAUUAAACCCAAACCUCAAUCCCCAUCUUCCAAAUACUAAACCCUAAAUGUUAAUCACUAAACCAUAAAUUCUAAUUAUUAAACCCUAAACUCAAGUAUAGACCCUAAACCCAGUUAGAAUGGAACA
rnacentral:lncRNA from 1 species